rnacentral:rRNA from 1 species
GACGAACGCUGGCGGCGUGCUUAACACAUGCAAGUCGAACGGAAAGGCCCUGCUUGCAGGGUACUCGAGUGGCGAACGGGUGAGUAACACGUGGGUGAUCUGCCCUGCACUUCGGGAUAAGCCUGGGAAACGGGGUCUAAUACCGGAUAGGAGCCAUUUUUAGUGUGAUUGUUGGAAAGUUUUUUCGGUGUAGGAUGAGCUCGCGGCCUAUCAGCUUGUUGGUGGGGUAAUGGCCUACCAAGGCGGCGACGGGUAGCCGGCCUGAGAGGGUGGACGGCCACAUUGGGACUGAGAUACGGCCCAGACUCCUACGGGAGGCAGCAGUGGGGAAUAUUGCACAAUGGGCGCAAGCCUGAUGCAGCGACGCCGCGUGGGGGAUGACGGCCUUCGGGUUGUAAACUCCUUUCGCUAGGGACGAAGCUUUUUGUGACGGUACCUAGAUAAGAAGCACCGGCUAACUACGUG